CCGGUAGCUUAAGCAUAUCAAUAAGCGGAGGAAAAGAAACCAACAGGGAUUGCCCCAGUAACGGCGAGUGAAGCGGCAACAGCUCAAAUUUGAAAUCUGGCCCCCAGGGCCCGAGUUGUAAUUUGCAGAGGAUGCUUUUGGCGCGGUGCCUUCCGAGUUCCCUGGAACGGGACGCCAUAGAGGGUGAGAGCCCCGUCUGGUCGGACGCCUAGCCUGUGUAAAGCUCCUUCGACGAGUCGAGUAGUUUGGGAAUGCUGCUCUAAAUGGGAGGUAUAUGUCUUCUAAAGCUAAAUACCGGCCAGAGACCGAUAGCGCACAAGUAGAGUGAUCGAAAGAUGAAAAGCACUUUGAAAAGAGGGUUAAAUAGUACGUGAAAUUGUUGAAAGGGAAGCGCUUGUGACCAGACUUGGGCCCGGUGGAUCAUCCAGCGUUCUCGCUGGUGCACUCCGCCGGGUUCAGGCCAGCAUCAGUUCGCCGCGGGGGAAAAAGGCUUCGGGAACGUGGCUCCUACGGGAGUGUUAUAGCCCGUUGCAUAAUACCCUGGGGCGGACUGAGGUUCGCGCUCCGCAAGGAUGCUGGCGUAAUGGUCAUCAGCGACCCGUCUUGAAACACGGACCAAGGAGUCGUCUUCGUAUGCGAGUGUUCGGGUGUAAAACCCCUACGCGUAAUGAAAGUGAACGCAGGUGAGAGCUUCGGCGCAUCAUCGACCGAUCCUGAUGUUCUCGGAUGGAUUUGAGUAAGAGCAUACGGGGCCGGACCCGAAAGAAGGUGAACUAUGCCUGUAUAGGGUGAAGCCAGAGGAAACUCUGGUGGAGGCUCGCAGCGGUUCUGACGUGCAAAUCGAUCGUCAAAUAUGGGCAUGGGGGCGAAAGACUAAUCGAA
rnacentral:rRNA from 1 species